rnacentral:lncRNA from 1 species
GCAUUUCUAGCAAGUUCCCAGGUGAUGCUGGUAGAGCACACGCCCAGAACCACCGCCAGGUACACAAGUCACUGGACAAGGUGGGAAGGCAUCUUACUCAAUCAAUGGACCUUAUUCUAAAGCGGGAAGGGCACUGAGAGUAUAGGGAGGGUAUCUCUCAAAUGAGGAGUCUACGACCUGCUUCAGGGGAAGGCCAACAACUUCUUGGAUUUUAUGACCUGCUUCAGGGGAGAAGGACAAGGGAAGUACAGCGCCUACAACAAUGCAAAGGCUAGAAGGAAUGAAGGCAGGGACAUGGAAUGGAGAAUUUCCAUUUCACGGAUCCACAUAAACUGAAAAGGAACAAGAGUCGGUGAGACCAAAGAGCACUGAAGGCCAUGAACCACCACCAUUCUCAACCCCUGGGCCAGGCAAGAAAAGCCACGGUUCCUGGAAGGGAUGACGACAGGCUUACUGAAUUAUUUUCAUCCAUGCCCUUUUAAAAUAUGGUUGGUAGAAAUUUGCCAUUUGAGACUAGAAUCCCAUUCGGAAUCAUGUAAGUCUCUUUUGACUCCACGAGGACAUCUUUCACCCAGUUUUGGGAAAUCUGAGGAAUGGAUUCUUCUACAGACUGAUAAAAUAUCACAAGGUCCAAGAGUUUGUGUGAGAAAGAGGACAUCAAGUGAUGGAUGUGAACGUGGUAGACAUACAAUGGAAGGCAAGAAGGUAUCUCAACACAGCAGAACAAGACCCCAUGAGGAGCCCAGAAAAAAAAUAAAGAAGGUUCCUCACUGGUUAGGAAUUCAAAAGCAGUCCUGGCAACCUCAUAGCAUCUUUACCUCAGAAGCAGGCAGCUCUGGUUACUCCACCAUUUUCAGGAACAAGGUUUUUCUCUCCCCCUCUGCUGCAUUUCCUCUGCGGCUCCUGAUCCAUCUGCCUCUACCUUCUUCCUAGCAUCAAAUUUCCUCCCAGGAGACAACAUGAAUGGGUUAAGAAGUACCCAAUGAGGGCUGCUCCAACUGGACAGCAUCUUUGAAACUGGGACCUCACAGAUGGUCAUCACAGGCCCCUGAUGCCUGGGUACCCAGCGACCAACCCCAGUCUAGUCUGUCUAUAGCAACAUAGGUGAAGGGGAGUCUCAGGGGCUGCCUAAAGGGCUCAGAAUGUGGUGAGUACUUAAGACUGCAUGGAUUUUCACUGUUUACAUGAAUAUAGGACAAGUAUUCACAGAACUAUUAGCUAGAUCUGUGAACAAAACAUUAAUAACAUUGUAUGUCCAUGUCUGAACCCCUGAAAUUCCAACAACCACCACCCGCCUACCAACUUGCAGCAAACCGGCUCUCUCCACAGUCUUCCCCAGAUCAGGGAGAAACAAUUCCAUCCUUCCAGUACUCAGACUGUAAAACUGGAUUCAUUCUGAUUCCUCUCUCACACAUCCCACACCUGAUCUGACAGGAAAUCCUAUAAACUCUGCCAUUAAAAUAUAUCCAGAAACAGGCCAGGCACAAUGGCUCAUGCCUCUAAUCCCAGCACUUUGGGAGGUCGAGGCGGGCGGAUCAUGAGGUCAGGAGUUCGAGACCAGCUUGGCCUACAUGGCAAAACCCUGUCUCUACUAAAAAUACAAAAAUUAGCUAGGUGUGGUGAUGCACACCUGUAAUCCCAGCUACUUGGGAGGCUGAGCUAGGAGAAUCACUUGAACCCGGGAGGCACAGGCUGCAGUAAGCCAAGAUCGUGCCACUGCACUCCAGCCUGGGCGACAGAGUAAGACUCUGUCUCAAAAAAAAAAAAUAUAUAUAUAUAUAUAUAUAUGUCCAGUAAUGUGCAACUUUCACAGUCUCCACCAGGAUCAUCACAGUCUAACCACUGCUUCCUCCAGCCUGAACUUACUGCAAGAGGCCACUCACUGGUCUCCAGGCAUCCACUCUUGCUUCCCCCACGCACCCCACCACCAGUGUCUAUUCUCAACAGAGCAGCCAAAAUUGUCCUUUUAAACAUUGGUUGGAUUGUGUCUUCUGUCUGUUCAAAACUCUCCAGUAUGUCCACAUGGAUCUCAAAAUAAAACCAAAGUUCUGGCCAGGCACAGUGGUUCGUGUCUGUAAUCCCAGCACUUUGGGAGGCUGAGAAGGGAGGGUGGCUGGAGCCCAGGAAUUCAAGACCAGCCUGGGCAACAUGGCAAAACCCCAUCUCUCCAAAAAAUACAGAAAUUUGCUAGGCGAGGUGAUGUGUGUUUGUAGUCCCACCUACUCAGGAGGCUGAGGUGGAAGGAUCACUUGAACCCAGGAGGUUGAGGCUGCAAUGAGCUGUGAUCACGUCACUGCACUCCAGCCUGGGUGACAGAAUGAGACUCUGCCAAAAAAAAAAAUUCAAAGUUCUUACCACAGCCUACAAGACCUGCCAUGACCUGGUCCUUCCUACCACCUGUCUCAUCUUUGCACUCUCACUCACUCUGUACCAACCACACUGGCCUCCUGGAUGUUUCUGGAACAUACCAAACAUGCUCUAAUCACCAGUCUUUGCACUGGAUUUUUCUUCAUUCUGGGAUGUUCUUCCCUUGGAACUCCACAGGGCUAACCCCCACAGUUCCUGCACAUCUAUCAAUGAUGUUUAACAAACCACCCCACUUCGCCUCUGCAGUAUUCCCAAUCGCCACACCUGCCCUGUGUGGUAUUUUAUCACAUACCAUGUAAUUAACUUAUUUGCUAUCUUUAGGAAAAGGGUUUUUUUUUAAAUUUUUUGUUUGCAUGUUUUGUUUUCUUUUUGCUUUUGGUAUCUCUUCCCCUGGUAGAAUGAAAGCUCCGUGAGAAAACCUAGACGAAUCUCUGAAACUUAAUGCUCAAUAAAUGUUUGUUGGUGAAUGCCUGAUUUACAGGACAGCUGAAGCAGUUUAUUAAUUUAGAAGAGCUUAUUAAUUUAGAAGUUAUCAACUAUUGUAAAACUUCCACUGCAGUUUGAAGUUUGAUGUGAUGGGUUGAAAAAAACCACAAUUAGCAAAGUGCACUCUCCUUUUUUUCUAUUUAUCUUCUAAUCACCAGUCUGCUCUGAUGCUGAUUGACACACAGAUACUGAUGUGUUGUUUCCCAUAAAUUCACAAGCCAGUGAGUCAGUCCUUCAGGUAAUAAACAGAUGGCUGUCGGCCAGGUGAGAUGAAAAGGCAUGGUUGCCAUCCUCGAGGAAUUUACGUGUAGCAUGCGUGAUUUAUUGCACUAAGGUAUAAAUAUAAGGUAUAAGAAAUAUCUUACUGGUUUGUUGUGGUGGUUUCUUGUGAUUUUUUCUGUCUCUAAAUAAAAUUAAAUCUGCUCCAUUCCCUCUG